CCUACGGGUGGCAGCAGUGAGGAAUAUUGGACAAUGGGCGCUAGCCUGAACCAGCCAAGUAGCGUGAAGGAUGACUGCCCUCUGGGUUGUAAACUUCUUUUAUAUGGGAAUAAAGUGCAGUAUGUAUACUGCUUUGCAUGUACCUUAUGAAUAAGGGUCGGCUAACUCCGUGCCAGCAGCCGCGGUAAUACGGAGGGUCCCAGCGUUAUCCGGAUUUAUUGGGUUUAAAGGGAGCGUAGGCGGGUGGUUGAGUCAGUUGUGAAAGUUUGCGGCUCAACCGGAAUAUUGCAGUUGAUACUGGCAUCCUUGAGUACAGUAGAGGUAAGCGGAAGUCGUGGUGUAGCGGUGAAAUGCGUAGAUAUCACGAAGAACACCGAUGGCGAAGGCGGCCUGCUGGACUGUAACUGACGCUGAUGCUCGAAAGUGUGGGGAUCAAACAGGAUUAGAUACCCUAGUAGUC
rnacentral:rRNA from 1 species